AGAUUGAACGCUGGCGGCAUGCCUUACACAUGCAAGUCGAACGGCAGCACGGGAGCAAUCCUGGUGGCGAGUGGCGAACGGGUGAGUAAUACAUCGGAACGUGCCCAAUCGUGGGGGAUAACGCAGCGAAAGCUGUGCUAAUACCGCAUAAGAUCUACGGAUGAAAGCAGGGGAUCGCAAGACCUUGCGCGAAUGGAGCGGCCGAUGGCAGAUUAGGUAGUUGGUGAGGUAAAGGCUCACCAAGCCUUCGGAUCUGUAGCUGGUCUGAGAGGACGACCAGCCACACUGGGACUGAGACACGGCCCAGACUCCUACGGGAGCAGCAGUGGGAAUUUGGACAAUGGGCGAAAGCCUGAUCCGAGCCAUCGCCGCGUGCAGGAUGAAGGCCUUCGGUAGUAACGUGCUUUUGUAACGGAACGUAAAGUACUACGUUUACUAACGUAAAGAGGUAUCAUGAACGGUACCGUAAGAAUAAGACACGACUAACUACGUACG
rnacentral:rRNA from 1 species